rnacentral:rRNA from 1 species
UCCGGUUGAUCCUGGCAGAGGUUACUGCUAUCGAGGUUCGACUAAGCCAUGCGAGUCGAAUGUAGCAAUACAUGGCGUACUGCUCAGUAACACGUGGACAACCUGCCCUUGAGACGGGGAUAAACCCGGGAAACUGGGUAUAAUACCCGAUAGAUCUCGAUUGCUGGAAUGCAUCGAGUUCUAAAGCUCCGGCGCUCAAGGAUGGGUCUGCGGCCUAUCAGGUAGUAGUGGGUGUAGCGUACCUACUAGCCUACGACGGGUGCGGGUUGUGAGAGCAAGAGCCCGGAGAUGGAUUCUGAGACACGAAUCCAGGCCCUACGGGGUGCAGCAGGCGCGAAAACUUUACAAUGCUGGAAACAGCGAUAAGGGGACCUCGAGUGCCAGGUUACAAAUCUGGCUGUCGUGAUGCCUAAAAAGCAUUGCAUAGCAAGGGCCGGGCAAGACCGGUGCCAGCCGCCGCGGUAACACCGGCGGCUCGAGUGGUAACCGUUAUUAUUGGGUCUAAAGGGUCUGUAGCCGGCCGGAUAAGUCUCUUGGGAAAUCUGGCAGCUUAACUGUCAGGCUUUCAGGAGAUACUGUCUGGCUCGAGGCCGGGAGAGGUGAGAGGUACUUCAGGGGUAGGGGUGAAAUCUUGUAAUCCUUGAAGGACCACCAGUGGCGAAGGCGUUUCACCAGAACGGACCUGACGGCAAGGGAC